rnacentral:rRNA from 1 species
AUUGAACGCUGGCGGCAUGCCUUACACAUGCAAGUCGAACGGCAGCACGGGAGCAAUCCUGGUGGCGAGUGGCAAACGGGUGAGUAAUAUAUCGGAACGUGCCCAGUCGUGGGGGAUAACGCAGCGAAAGCUGUGCUAAUACCGCAUACGAUCUAAGGAUGAAAGCGGGGGAUCGCAAGACCUCGCGCGAUUGGAGCGGCCGAUAUCAGAUUAGCUAGUUGGUGGGGUAAAGGCCCACCAAGGCGACGAUCUGUAGCUGGUCUGAGAGGACGACCAGACACACUGGAACUGAGACACGGUCCAGACUCCUACGGGAGGCAGCAGUGGGGAAUUUUGGACAAUGGGCGCAAGCCUGAUCCAGCAAUGCCGCGUGCAGGAUGAAGGCCUUCGGGUUGUAAACUGCUUUUGUACGGAACGAAACGGCCCUUUCUAAUACAGGGGGCUAAUGACGGUACCGUAAGAAUAAGCACCGGCUAACUACGUGCCAGCAGCCGCGGUAACAC